AAGCACUUACUAAGCUGAAUAGAUCAACGUGGUUAUUUGAUUAGUAGUUGGAGUUCGUUUCCCUGUGGACUCGAAUCCUUGGGUGACACUUGAGCUUCAUUGAGGCUGCCACUGCACACACGGGUGGAGGUGCCGCUGGAGCUGCUCAGGGGAAGGAAAUUCAUGAAGUUCGGUCAACUGGAUAUACGUUUCCCCUUCCCGAUGGUGUCGUGGAUCACAUCUGUAGAAGUCACGAGACUGGUGUGAACGGGCCGCGCGGUAAACCAUAUGACUGCACAAGUUCCGGGAAGAAUGUCAUCACCAGACUGUAAAUACCAAGUCUCCAUGAAGAUACAAGAACCGUCACCACACAGCUGCAUGGAAAGACCUGCUUCCUCUCCUCCCAAUGCACAAAUAAUUGCUGGAAAGUGUGAUGAUGCAGAACCCUGUUGAAUGUAGUUCACGCUGGGGGUUCUAGCCUUCCAGCGCUUAUAGUAGUCAAACUGCACGAGCUAGCUGUUUUGGAAGAAGGGAGAGAUCAAUCAACUUAUUAGGCUCAAAUAUGCUCUGUAAUGACUUGUCCGAAAAAUUAAAUAAACUUAAGGGACACUCA